rnacentral:rRNA from 1 species
UACAGAGGGGCAAGCGUUGUUCGGAAUUACUGGGCGUAAAGGGCGCGUAGGCGGUCAGCACAAGUCAGUUGUGAAAUCUCCGGGCUUAACUCGGAAAGGUCAACUGAUACUGUGCGACUAGAGUGCAGAAGGGGCAACUGGAAUUCUCGGUGUAGCGGUGAAAUGCGUAGAUAUCGAGAGGAACACCUGCGGCGAAGGCGGGUUGCUGGGCUGACACUGACGCUGAUGCGCGAAAGCCAGGGAGCGAACGGG